GCAUAACGCGAAGAACCUUACCUGGCCUUGACAUUGAUAGAAUCUGCUAGAGAUAGCGGAGUGCCCUUCGGGGAGCUUGAAAACAGGUGCUGCACGGCUGUCAUCAGCUCGUGUCGUGAGAUGUUGGGUUAAGUCCCGCAACGAGCGCAACCCUCGUCACUAGUUACUAACGGUUCGGCCGAGGACUCUAGUGAGACUGCCUUCGUAAGGAGGAGGAAGGUGAGGACGACGUCAAGUCAUCAUGGCCCUUACGGCCAGGGCGACACACGUGCUACAAUGGGAUGUACAAUGAGACGCAAUACCGCGAGGUGGAGCAAAUCUAUAAAACAUCUCUCAGUUCGGAUUGUAGUCUGCAACUCGACUACAUGAAGCUGGAAUCACUAGUAAUCGUAGAUCAGCCAUGCUACGGUGAAUACGUUCCCGGGUCUUGUACACACCG
rnacentral:rRNA from 1 species